UGGGGCCUUAGACAAAGUAACAAUUUAAAAACGAUAACGAAGUUAGAAAAGUCUAAAAUGUAUGGAGCUGCGUUAAGUCACGUGGUCCAUCGACAUCGUUAUCGCAAUUUGGUAGACAAUGUAACAUUUCAUAACGAAACCAUAAAGUAACGAAUACGUUACCGAACGUUAUCGUGUUUAUUCCAUACAAAUGCGUAGACAAGCGGCACUUUCAGUGUUCGUCUUCGCCUCGAUCGUGAUCGUCAUUAAGGAUAACGAAACGAACGCUAAAACGUUGUAGUUAUCGACUAAUAUCGACACAAGAUGGCCGAAUUUCAUUCUACAGCUGAUUUUUGACCUUGGUUGAUGACAUACUCUUGAGUAUUUAUUUUAUGUUAGAGGCAUUACUGCAGGUUAAAUAAAUUAUAAAAUGCAUUCUCUUCGUUUAUUGUGGGCUGUGCACAAUGAGAACGCCUGGGAGAGGCGUCUAAACCGAUUAAAUGCGGCGACGGCUAUUGGAAACAAUUGGAGAAAUGCCUGAAUUGUUUUUCAACUAACAUUUCAGACUUAAUAAAAGAGCAUUUAGGAAAUUAUGCAAGGAGCUAGAAGCUCAUGUACGAUUAAAAGGUUCUACUGAGAUUCCCCUGGAACUAAAGGUGCUGUGUGCUCUUAGCUUUUUAGCUACUCGCUUGCCGCUGUCUCGAAGGGGGUCGCUCAAACGAGGGUCGGGAGAAACAGCAGACUGCGGUGUCGCUGGCGAUCUCAACCGCGGACCACGCCUGGUGGAUGGAGAAAUAUUAUUUAUAUUAAAUAUUUAUGUAUAAGAAUUUUUAUAAAUAAUAAUUCAUAACCAGAUUAACCAAGUUAAAAACUAAUUUAUCAAAAAAUUUAAUGGUGUCUUUCAUGUAAGUGAAGUUACUUGGUUGACUAAUGUUAAUAAGAAUACUUUAUAAAACAUUUCGAUUUAUUUAUUUGCCAUCUACCUACUAGAGACAAUUAAGUAGCUCAUUUUUGAGCAGAUCCCUUGAAGGUGUAUACCUAGUACUUACAUUAAUUUAAAUCCUAGCUUUUCUAUAGUCUUGUCCAUAGUUAUAAGUAUAAUAUAUGUGUAUAUGAGAUUAAAAAGCCAAUUUGUCAAGAACUUUUGAAAUUAAUUGAAAAAUAACAAUAACAUGCAGGUUUGGACACCAAAGUAUAGCUUGUACUAUACUAUAUAUGUACUUAUUUGAAUUUUUGUAGUAAGGAGGUUAAUGUUUAGCUGUAUGUUUUCUUUUACAUAUUUGCUUAAAAGAAAACUUACAACUAAGAAAGCAAAUGUUUUAUGGUAUAUGCCAAUAAACAUUUCUUGUUUCUUUCUUACUAUAUGGGUGUCAGAGAUUGAUCAUCAUCAUCAUCAUCAUAAUUAUAAAAAGUCCCCAGUCUAGUUAUAACAGAGAAAAUUAUUACAAGCCAAUUUUCAUAACCACAAGGGUGUGUCCACUUAUCCAAAACCCUUUAGAAAAUAGCUUGCUAGCCACUCUACCAUCACACCAGUCUUUCCAAAAAUGUUCAUUAGAUCCUUACUUUUUAUCACUUGUCUGUAGUCUUGCUGCCACCACCACUGACAGCAUUCAAUAUGUUUGUCAGUUCAGUCCACAGUCGGUCUGACCGUACCCAACCUAGUGAUGCAGCAAGAGGCCUCACCGGGUCACCAUGACUGUAACAUAAACAAACAAAGAUUCAGUAUAAGUACUUCAUUGUUAAGAUUGUGUCAUUGUGUACAUUACAUACUAGUGAAUACAA